rnacentral:ncRNA from 2 species
GGUUUUUUCGGAGGCUUAGAUCCAAAGACUUUGAUUGGUCGCUGUUCAGGAGUAGAAUCCUGAUCUGUCUUUGGGGAGCCAAUAGCGAAACCGGCCUUGACAACC